AGAGUUUGAUCAUGGCUCAGGACGAACGCUGGCGGUGUGCUUAACACAUGCAAGUGGAGCGACGAACCAGGGCUUGCCCUGGGGCAGAGCCGCGAACGGGUGAGUAACACGUGGGUAACCUACCCCGAUGACUGGGACAACCCGAGGAAACUCGGGCUAAUACCGGAUGUGCUCGGAGUUCACGAGAACUUUGAGUAAAGGAAGCUUCGGCCUCCGCAUUGGGAGGGGCCCGCGGCCCAUUAGCUUGUUGGUGGGGUAACGGCCUACCAAGGCUGCGAUGGGUAGCUGGUCUGAGAGGACGAUCAGCCACACUGGGACUGAGACACGGCCCAGACUCCUACGGGAGGCAGCAGUGGGGAAUCUUGCGCAAUGCGCGAAAGCGUGACGCAGCAACACCGCGUGAGGGAAGACGGCCUUCGGGUUGUAAACCUCUUUCAGGAGGGACGAAGGUCGACCGGUGAAUAGCCGUGUCGACUGACGGUACCUCCAGAAGAAGCACCGGCUAACUACGUGCCAGCAGCCGCGGUA
rnacentral:rRNA from 1 species